UACGGGGGGGGCAAGCGUUGUUCGGAAUUACUGGGCGUAAAGGGCUCGUAGGCGGCCAACUAAGUCAUACGUGAAAUCCCUCGGCUUAACCGGGGAACUGCGUCUGAUACUGGAUGGCUUGAGUUCGGGAGAGGGAUGCGGAAUUCCAGGUGUAGCGGUGAAAUGCGUAGAUAUCUGGAGGAAUACCGGUGGCGAAGGCGGCAUCCUGGACCGACAUUGACGCUGAACGGCGAAAGCUAAGGGAGCAAACGGG
rnacentral:rRNA from 1 species